CACCAGGCUUCUAUUGAUCUCUUCCUGACCACCAUGUAGCCAGCCAGCAGUUAGAUAUAGGUCUGUCCUAUCAUCAAGUUCUUCUAUAUAAAGUAGAUUAGUCUAACCUUAAGUCAAUCUCCAUGCUUAUCAUUUACAAGCUGUUGCUCCUGAGACCCUGUUGACUUCUGCUGUAAUGGGAGUGAGUUCCUGAAAUACUCUGCUAUAUAAGUAAUUACCCACCCCGCAAAAAAAUAGAUCCCAAUUUAUGGCGUUAGUUAGAACUCUGAACACCAUUUGCUGUAAGAUUAGGUAUUCUGUUGUGUCCACUAGGGGUGUGCACUAGGAGUAUGUGUCCAGUUUAUUUUUACAUUUCAGAUUCUGGACCAGCUCCAAGCCAGCCUGGAGGGUUUGGCUCAAAGUUGUGCCAAACUAGGCCCAGACCAGCUCAAGGGUGAACCCUUGAUCCGGCCCAGUUCGAUGGCAAACUGGCUUGACCUCAAGCCGGUUCGCACAUCCCUAGUGUCCACAUCAUAGUAUACCACAUAUACAAACAAAAAGGUGUGAUAAAAGGAAAACAGAAUGAGAUGUAUGAAAAAAGUAGUAGUGGGGGAAAGCAUGUGCUUCAGAUUGCCUUGGAUAAAACCCUUCUUUUCUCCUCCACUAUGAUUACAUGUUAUCCAUCUCCUUAGCUCUCAGCUUUGUUUCUGUAUAGUGGCAUCUGUUGAUCCAUAAUAGUAUCUUUUCUUAUUUCCCCUUAAUGACUUGUAUACAGUCUCACACUCUAUUUUACAAAAGCUCAGCUGCAUUUUAAUAUCUCAUGUUCCCUUCUCCCAGGUUUAUGAUACCUAGUAUAGCCUACCUAGCUUUAUACAUUAAGUUCCUUCCAUCUCCUCAAAUCUCACUUCUUCUGCAAGACUCAUUCUGGACCACCUUGGUUUCUUUCAUCCUCUUGAAUCCUAUACCAUUUCACUCUCCUCAGUCCUAUCCUUGCAAUUGCUUUAUUUCUGCUCUGACUUCUUUUAACUUUAGCCUGUCCUUCUUGAUCAGCCUUCUGGACAGUUCCUUUUGAAAUCUGUACAUAGCCUUGUUCCUGGCUUUUAAAAAUGGUGGUAAACAGUGCAAUUUACCACAGGACUGUCUCUUGCAAAGAUUAUGCACAUAUCUACCUGAAGUGUUGAGGCACACAUGAAACUGAAGAGCCCUCAAGCAGAAACCAAAACUUGAAGAGAAUUUCAGGGUCCAUCCCAAGAAGAAACAUCUGAGAAUUUUCUCAGACUGUUUUGACCGUGUCUCCACAUACGUACAAAUCCAGGAGCUCCAAAUCUGAGAAGAAGGACAGGAAGAGAAGGACAUCCUUCUCAAGUGCCUCUUAGGAAAAUAACCAGAGAAGACAGUAAGCUAUUCAUAAGGAUUAAGGCGAAUGGGUGAAAGUAAAUUGUUUUAAUUAGGUUUCUGAAUUUUAAUCCAAAACAAAACUCACGGCAGACACACUGCAAAUAGCAGCAGAUAUAUCCCACAGCAUCAGAUGCCUGUUCAGCUUCUCAGAAAGGAGUCAGCAAGAAGAUCGCCAUCAUCUCUCACCUCUCCUAAUAUAUGUAGCACUCUCCGUAAAUUAAUCAGCUGCCUCUCUGCCUGGCAUGAAAUUGCCUUGAUCUUGAUUUGCAAUGGUCAUGAUGCUUUUGUUUAGUCUUGCGGUUAACAGUUUAGUAAAUAUUUUUAAGGCCACAUUUAACAAAGAUACAGGAUAACAGUUACUACAUUUCACUGGGAGCUUACCCAUUUAUAACAUUUGGAUAAUACUGCUGUUUAGCUGCCGGAGGGUUUUUUCCUUUUUCUUUACCGAUUCAUACAAGAUAUUUUGGAGGCACUGGAUGAGGGCCAGGAAUAAAAUGCCCUUUUACAACAUCCUCUUAUACACUGCUCCUGGAGCAAGCCAUCUCCUCCAGUAGAUAUGCCAUUUUUCAUCCACCAAUUUCCAUCAGGGAAAGUACUAAUGUGGGUACCAUACACCAAGCCAUGCUGCUGAGCAACCUCCAUUCUUCUCAGUGGGGCAUGUGUGAGACUCCAGAACUAGCCCCAACCCAUUGCCAUGCACAAAGGAUGUUCAAUAAUAUUGGCUGGCAGGUAGUGACCAUUAUUUGUAACACAUUGUUGAUAGAUGCAAAACCCCCACAUAAACCCCACUGAAAUGGGGUCACAGGAAGUAUCAACUGUCACAACUACAAACUAAUGAGGCUGGGUGAGGCAGCUGCCUCAGUUGGUAGACUGGUGGAGGAGGAAGACUGCCUGUUCGCUGCAUCAGCCAACCCACCACCUCCCCCAAAUCUCUCUUGGCUGUAACAUACCAACCACUGCUGCUGUCUCCAACACCUCCUCCUUAUCCUCCUCCUCCUUCACUCCCACCCAAGAGAAGGGAGCAGAAAAGAUGGCAGAUUGACAACAGAGGAGGACUGCCUGCUAGCUACCUCAGCCUGCCUACCACCUCCGCCAAACUUCACCUGGUGGCAGAGCAACGGCCAUCACCACGUUCCUCCUCCAGCCUCACCUCUGGCUUUUCAAAAGCCAAGGGAAGAAGGGGCGGAAGAGGGAAUAUAGAGGCAGACAAAGAAUAGAGUACUGGGAUACAGAGCCACUCCAACUUCCUCUUCUGUUUCCUUCCCUUGACCUUUGAGAAGUCAGAGAUUGGAUUGGAGGAAGGGAGUGGCAGCUGGUGCACCACUACCAGAUGGGAUAAGGAAAAAGGAACCCAGAAGCCCCAUUGCAGGGGGAAGGGAAUCUGGGAGCUUCAGCAUUCCACUGGGAAAGGAAGGGAAAUGGAGCCCAGGAACCCCAGUGAGGGGAGUGAGGGAUUCUGGAAGGCUCCUUAGUGGGAGAGGAAGGAAGAGCACUGUUGGGAGAUCCUGAGCUGAGUUGUUAGCUAAGUGCUCAGUCUGUGUUCCUUCUGGGGUCCAUGACUAGUCAAUAAGCAUUGAUAUCCCAGUCUUCUAAACAUAUUUGUGCUUUAUGUCACAUUAUACUCGUGACCAAUACCACAUCCCAUGUCAGUGAGUUCCAAAGAUAAAUUAUGUGCUGUGUGGAAAAAUAUCUAUUUCCUUGAUUCGUUUAAAAACAAAACAAAAACAAAAACCCUGCAUGUGUAGGUCCUGUUAUCCUUGGCUAAGUGUGAAUUUAGAAUUCACAUGUGAAAAUUGGAUCAGAUCCUCUGUGGGGCUGAGGAUGCUUAGCUCUUCACAGCUUAGUACUCAUGCUACAGUAAAAUGUCGUCAGGGAGCUGUCAGAUUUACUGGGCACAAUGGUACAAACUGUUCACUAUAUCCUGUUUUUAAAUGUCAACUUUUUUUCUCAGUGGGUGGGCUGACUAAACAGAGACUUUUUAACAUGGUACUUUGCUGUUUUCUAAACAGAGCUGCUAUGCAUGCUAUCUAGUUUAUAUACAGCUUUUUAAAAAGCAGGUCACCCUUAUAAAUAUGUUGGGUUUAAAAGAAACUGGCCUGGCCAAAAAAAAAAAAAUGGUUUCUUGUUUAUAAUAUCUAAACCUUUUGGUUUUCUGAGUUUUGAAAUGAGUAUGCAUACAUCUUACAAUACAGUACAGCCAAUGAUUUUUUUUUACAGUUUUUUGUUCUGACACACAACAUGGAAUGUAGCUAAUCAGAACAGAUGUGUUUACCUUGUACUGCUAGCAGUAAUUUUUAAAAGAUACAUAUUAAAAUAUGUUUGGUGUUUCAGC